AUGGAAUCCUCUUUAUCUCCGUAGCAGAAGAUGGUGAUGCAGUACCGUAUGCAGCAGUACCAGUGACAGAGCACGUACGUGUUUGAAGUUAAACACAUAAACCCCUCUACAGGUUGUCCUGCGGCUUCUUGAUGCCCACAUGGCAAAGCAAGGCAAUGAUGCUACUGAUGUGAUGCUUCCAGAACAACAUUUAUUCAGGCUGACCAAAGUAAAGAGAGGGUUCACAAACUUUCAAGCAAGUAUGUGUAUUUACACCAAUCAGCCAUAACGUCAAAACCACUGGCAGGUGCUGUGAGUAACCUGUCGAGGGGAGGGAUUUAUAGAUUUAUUAGUCAGCAGGUGAACAGUCAGUUCUGGAAGUCGAGGAGUUGGAAGCAGGAAAAAUGGACAAGUGUAAGGAUCUGAGAGACUCUGACGAGGGCCAGAUUGUGACGUCUAGACGACUGGAUCGGAGCUUCUCCAAAACAGCAGGUGUUGUGGGGUGUUCCCGGUCUACAGGGG
ensembl:lncRNA